rfam:Oryza rufipogon genomic scaffold, chr02
AAAAAGAUAAACCCUGGUUUUCGUGUCCAAUGUUUGACCGUCCGUUUUAUUUAAAAAAAUUAUAAAAAAAUUAAAAAGAUAAGUCACGCAUAAAGUAUUAAUCAUGUUUUAUCAUCUAACAACAAUAAAAAUACUAAUUAUAAAAAAAAAUCAUAUAAAAUGGACAGUUAAACGUUUGGCACGGAGGUUUGCUUUUUUU